GGGGUUGUGGCUCAGUGGUAGAGCAAUUGCCUUGCAUGCGUGAGGCCCUGCGUUCGAGCCUCAGCACCA
rnacentral:tRNA from 1 species